CCUACGGGAGGCAGCAGUGAGGAAUAUUGGUCAAUGGGCGAGAGCCUGAACCAGCCAAGUCGCGUGAGGGAGUACUGCCCUAUGGGUUGUAAACCUCUUUUGUCGGGGAGCAAAAGCCGGACGUGUCCGGCUGUGAGAGUACCCGAAGAAAAAGCAUCGGCUAACUCCGUGCCAGCAGCCGCGGUAUUACGGAGGAUGCGAGCGUUAGCCGUAUCUAUUGGGGUUAAAGGGUGCGCAGGCGGAUUUUUAAGUCAGCGGUAAAAUCGUAGGGCUCAACCCCAUCCAGCCGUUGACAUUGGGGAUCUAGAGUGUGCGAGAGGUAUGCGGAAUGCGUGGUGUAGCGGUGAAAUGCAUAGAUAUCACGCAGAACCCCGAUGGCGAAGGCAGCAUACUGGUGCACAACUGACGCUCAGGCACGAAAGCGUGGGUAGCAAACAGGAUUAGAUACCCUGGUAGUC
rnacentral:rRNA from 1 species